GAUGAACGCUGGCGGCGUGCCUAACACAUGCAAGUCGAACGAGAUGCGUAUUGGAAAGCUUCGGCCGGAAGAUGCGUUAUCUAGUGGCGGACGGGUGAGUAACACGUGGGUAACCUGCCUUAUGGGGGGGGAUAACAGAGAGAAAUCACUGCUAAUACCGCAUAAGCACACAUUGCCGCAUGGCAGAGUGUGAAAAGAUUUAUCGCCAUAAGAUGGACCCGCGUCUGAUUAGCCAGUUGGCAGGGUAAAAGCCUACCAAAGCAACGAUCAGUAGCCGAUCUGAGAGGAUGACCGGCCACAUUGGGACUGAGACACGGCCCAAACUCCUACGGGAGGCAGCAGUGGGGAAUAUUGCACAAUGGGGGAAACCCUGAUGCAGCGACGCCGCGUGAGUGAAGAAGUAUUUCGGUAUGUAAAGCUCUAUCAGCAGGGAAGAUAAUGACAGUACCUGACUAAGAAGCCCCGGCUAACUACGUGCCAGCAGCCGCGGUAAUACGUAGGGGGCAAGCGUUAUCCGGAUUUACUGGGUGUAAAGGGAGCGUAGACGGAGUGGCAAGUCUGAAGUGAAAACCCUGGGCUUAACCUGGGGACUGCUUUGGAAACUGUUAAUCUAGAGUGUUGGAGAGGUAAGUGGAAUUCCUGGUGUAGCGGUGAAAUGCGUAGAUAUCAGGAAGAACACCGGAGGCGAAGGCGGCUUACUGGACAAUAACUGACGUUGAGGCUCGAAAGCGUGGGGAUCAAACAGG
rnacentral:rRNA from 1 species